UUCCUUGCGAAGGCCUGCAUUUUGCAGGUUUUUUGUCCGACUUCCAGAGCUUAUAUCGAGCUUGAUUCUCCACCAAAAUCAAUAAUUCAAGAGCCAUUUUGAAGUUAGAAAUGUAGAGAGAAACACCAUACCAAGGUGAGGCCGAGUUAAGGUCGGUGUUGGCCAAAAAAAUGGCCUGAAAGUUGUCAAAUGACCACGGUUACUAAUUUUCCAGAAAUCUGGAAAACUUCCUCCCUUGCCAUUUAUGUCAUGAAACCAAUCCAAACUUCACUCAUUAAGCCUAAAAGUCAUUUUAAACCACAAGGGGGAGAUCACACAAAGCAUAAUCGACACUCACCUUCAUAGAAAGUGGUGAGAUCCAUGCUGAAUAGUCUCCGCAGUGUUAGAACUCUAAGAUUCGAGAGCUAUUCCCGUUGGGAUGUCUGGAAUUAAACCUAGGGCUAGGUUUCAGAUGAUAUGAUAUCUUGGGAACAUUGGUUCGAUGGUCAUCUGCCAUGGAAGACGGCGAUGGUGAUGACCUUAACCUCACGGUUGUCCUGUGUUUGUAGAGAUGAGAGAGACGACAUGGAGAUUGAGGGAGAAAGAUGCAUAACAAGAGAGAGACAGAGGGACAUGGUAUGGUGGUUCAGGUGUAGUUCACUGGAAAGGUGGUGAGGUGGUGGUUGUACUGCUCGGCUCCACCUUU
rnacentral:lncRNA from 1 species